CAUGUUACGAUGCUGUCUUUAGUUUCUAUUGAGAACCAAACAUUUUGUGGCUCUAAUUUCCUUGGAUAUUAUUUUAAGGUAUUAUUAUCUUCUUGUUUAUCAGAUUGCUGAUUUACUUCUCAUGGCUAGCCGGGUGCCUGAAAAUUCCGCUGGAAGAACUCAAGAUUUUCCUUUUAUUCCAUGCUUUGAGGCAGAGAGGUAACCAUCUAAGCAUUUUAAAUUCAUGGAAAUAUUUAAUCUUCACAUUAUGCCUAUAAGGAACUGCAUAUUGAGUCUUGAAAGUAUCUAGUACAUGUACUGGAGGAACUCCAAUAUUUAAAACCAAAGAAGAAAUCUGAUGAAGGAGACUAAAAGGAAGCCUCUAGAUGAAGAAGAAAAAUGAAGAGAACAUUAUUACAUGGGAGCUAAGAAAAGAGACUGUCGCAAAAAAUAGGAGUUUGAUCUUCUUGAUGAACAUUAUAAUCAUUUUGUCAGGAUUUGGUCCAGAAUUGGAUUACUUUUAUAAAUACUGCCAAGACGAUGAUAACCUGUAUUUAGCUUAAUGUAAGGAUAUCAUAGAAAUGUCUGACAAAUGUCUGUAUGCAUUCAUGUUCAUUAUGCACUUCCUCAUGGAUUCUUCUGGAUGAUUAUAAUUAUUUAAAUUAUUGAGCUGGAUGCUUAGUUUAGUAUUCAUUUUCUCUUUAUCCUCACAGGCAAAAUACAAUAUACUUUCGUCAUGUUUGAUGUUUACUGAUCAUUUAAUAUUUUGUUAGCAGUAUAUUAAUAUAAUUUUUUAUUGCAUUUCUUCAAACUUAGUAUUUACUUAAAAUACUUUUUAUAUUUGUAAUAUGGCCCCAAAUUCUCUAAUUAUGUUUUCUUUUAAUUAUUUGUUCAGUUCAGCUCUCUGGGGCUGGUUUAAAUACAUCGAAGAGCUAAUCUAGAAAAGGAUGCCCUGAAGAAUAUAAGGAAAAAGUGAAAUUUUUCCAGAGAAAGGAGGGAACAUACCAAUAAUAUCUAAAAAUCUGCAUAGGGCCUUUGUCACUGUUCUGUGCUUGUUUAGUGGAUUUCAUUUCAAUUUGUGUUGUAAAGAGAGAAUGGCAUGGUAAAUUUCUGCCUAAAGAAUUUAUUGAUUGUUUUCUUUUAAAAGUAGUCUAUAGACCCUAGAUGAUAAAGUAUAUUCCCUGUAGGAUGUAAGUAUUGAUAAGUUACUGCAUAAUGCUAUUUGGAGCUUGAGUAGAUUAGCAAAGACAUAAUUAAUUUUGUCAGGAAACAUAACAGGUAGUCACAGUAUCUUAAAAAGAAUUGUUUUUAUUUGUAUAAAGCAUUAUUUUAUGUUAACUGGAAUAUGAGAUUUAAAAAGAAGAAGCAGAAAAAUAACUGUAGACAUGAAAAGAGAAAAAACAUAUUUGUAUAGUUGUAGCAUAAAGGUUGAGGUAUCCUAUAUUGUCUUUGCUUGAUUGUGAAUAUUACACAAAGUGCAAAGACAUGUCUUGUGUAAAAACUUCUAAAUUCCUACUGGCACAUGCACUUUAGCAGAUACAUAAAUUCCAUCUCAUUUUAUCUGCAAUGUCUAUUCCAUCUCUGUAGACAGGCAGAGCAAAGCUUAUUAUAGUUCACCCUUGUUAAUACGUUUUACCUUUCUUAAUUUUUAAAUAGCAUGCUGACAAAGACUCUUUCACUAAUAGUCUCUCACUGAUAAGACCCUCGAGCCCUCUUGUUGAAUUGGCCUUGGUCUUGGCCUUUCAUGUUUAUCCUGUCUUUGCCAGGCCUGCAUAUCCCAAAUUUAGAAAGAAUCCUGCCAAAUCAGCUUAGUAAUAGUCCCUCUACCUUUGAUAUCUAAUCACCCUUGACAUUUGAACAAGUUCCUCAUCUCCAUCAUUGAUUUAUAAGUACUUGGCUUAUCUUUAGCAAGAAUCUUACUGGGUCACUUUAGCAAGAAUUCCCCUUCCCUUGAUGUCUCUUCUUAGUAAUUUUCCAUCCACAGAUCCCUCACUUUGCACAUUGGUCAUAAAUCCCCACUUGUCCUUAUUGUAUUCAGAGUUGAGCCUGAUCUCUCUGCCUUGUUGCAAUAGUCUCUAAUGAAGUCACCAUUACUGUUUUAAAAAGUAUUAGAGUAAUUUUUUCUUUAACAGUGCUUGGUUAUUAAAAUGACAGUAAAAAGAAUUUAAAAUUAAACAUCUUAAAAUAGGUCUUUGAAGGUAAUAAUCAAACUAAAUAAUUGUUCAAAGGAGAAGUAAUGAAUAAGCUGCAUUUUUUUCAUCCAGCAGUACUCAAUAUACUAUACUGUGAACUCUCAUGGUCUGUUUCUUUACUAAUAUAGUCUAUCAUGCUUUGGAUGUGUGUGAAGAUUCAUAUAUGUGAAGUUCUGUUCAUGUGGAUGUUUGAUAAGAAGCAACUCUUCUCAUUUCAAUAAAGAAAAAAUAUAAAUGGAAACCACUGAGUUGUGAACGUUGGAAAACUGCAGGGAGGAAAUAUAUAAUUUCCUCUCCCCAUGUUAGGUUCAUGAGUGAGGCCCCUAUAAGAAAACACAAGUUAACAAAAGAAAAGCAUACAGAUUUAUUGAAUAUGUUUUACAUGCAUGAGAGCCUAUGUAAGGAAAUAAAGUCCUGAAGAAACAGUGAAAUCUGAGUAUUUCUUUUGCUAAAUUUGAUGAAUUUCUUUUUCUUUUGCUAAAUUUGAUGAAGAAUCUCAGAGACUCUCAGAAAAAUGUAACAGGACAAAAAUGGGUAUUUCUGCCUAUACCCAUUUAUCCAGUUAUAGAGAGGUCACCUCUCAAACGAGGGUCUCAUAAACUGUUUCAAGAGAAGCUCAGAAAAUCCUCCCUACUUUUUAUGACCGGCUGCAGGGAAGGUGAACAAGAAAAGAUCUGAAUCACCUUCCUGCUUCUGUGAUUUCCUCAAAUUCCUUCACCUAUUCAGUAUGUCAAGGUGCCAUCUUUUGGAACAGUGUGUCCUGAACCUCAUCAAGAUACUUCCUUCUUCUACAUGCAUUGGCAGGAGGGCAUUGCUCAAGAUUCUCUCUCCUGUUUGUGGUCAUAGGUUUAGCCCAUGAUCCACAACUCAUUUUGUUUCAUUAUUAUGUCUGUUUAUGAAGAAUUGAAGUCCAGACUGUGAAGCACGCUGCACAAAGCCUUUAGUAAUCUAUUCUUAUUUGACUUUUUCUCAUCUUCUGACAGUUUGAUGCUUGUGUUAUGUGCUCAAAGCUUGCAUAAUCACUCUAUGAAAUUUAACUUUGUGAAGGCUUUCACACAUUCAUUCUUAUGUCUUUCUCAUUUUUUGGAAUCCUUCUACAUGCACCAUAUCCAUUUCUCUAUCUUUGUUUCUUUAACUCAUCUGGUCUACAGUUCUCUUACUACAAGUGAACUUAAUCUGACCUUGAAAGGGUACAGAAUAUGCCACAGUGCCGUAAGGAUUAUCUUGAGCUGAAGACAUUUGAGAAUCAACAAACGCAGGAAGAGGCUUUCUGCGAACUCCCCUUAUCUGCCUGAAAAUAUAUCCUCCAAAAAAAAAAAAAUUUAAACUGUCCAAAUUCCCUCCCUGGAAGUUUCAUUGACCAGGGAAAAUUGACUCUUGUCAUAGGAAAAGAGAUGAGAAGUUUGCACCAAACCUAGACAGUCAUUGCCACAAACUCUGUCUCCCAUUUAUUCUCAUAAGGGCCCAUUUGUAUUUCCUAAAAUUUAUUUUUCUCUCCCAUAAGUGGCUUUUAUCCCCUACCCUUUCCGCUAUUAAGGUAGCAUACAAGUUUCCAAAUCUUGCUUCUCAUUUUGGUAUUCACUUUUUUUUAAUGAUGCCAUAGUGCAUGUAAAAUUAAAAAUUAAAUAUGUAAGCCUUUUCUUUUGUUUAUCUGCUUGUUAGUUUAAUACACUGAUCCUCCAGCCAUUAAUAAAAGCAUAGAGGAAUUUGUUCCUCCCCUGCAGCCUUCUAUGAUAUUUUCCUGAUCUCCUCAGUAAGUCUGAGUUGCUUUUUUUCUGUCUUUCCAUAACCUUGUAUAUUUGUCUAUCUUCAAAACCAGGUCAGUUUAUGAUGAUAUAAAGGAGGACAAUUGCUUUUCUUUUACCCAGGUAAAAGAUUUUAGGUUCAUGACUGAGGCUUCUACAACAAAAGACAGGUUAACAAGAGAAAAGCAAGCAGAUUUACAGUCUACCCUCCAUAUCUGUGGGUUUCAUACCCACAGAUUGAAUCAACCAUGAAUCAAAAAUAUUCAAAAUGCAUA
rnacentral:lncRNA from 1 species